rnacentral:rRNA from 1 species
AGAGUUUGAUCCUGGCUCAGAUUGAACGCUGGCGGCAUGCCUUACACAUGCAAGUCGAACGGUAACAGGUCUUCGGAUGCUGACGAGUGGCGAACGGGUGAGUAAUACAUCGGAACGUGCCCGAGAGUGGGGGAUAACGAAGCGAAAGCUUUGCUAAUACCGCAUACGAUCUCAGGAUGAAAGCAGGGGACCGCAAGGCCUUGCGCUCACGGAGCGGCCGAUGGCAGAUUAGGUAGUUGGUGGGAUAAAAGCUUACCAAGCCGACGAUCUGUAGCUGGUCUGAGAGGACGACCAGCCACACUGGGACUGAGACACGGCCCAGACUCCUACGGGAGGCAGCAGUGGGGAAUUUUGGACAAUGGGCGCAAGCCUGAUCCAGCCAUGCCGCGUGCAGGAUGAAGGCCUUCGGGUUGUAAACUGCUUCUGUACGGAACGAAAAGACUCUGGUUAAUACCUGGGGUCCAUGACGGUACCGUAAGAAUAAGCACCGGCUAACUACGUGCCAGCAGCCGCGGUAAUACGUAGGGUGCGAGCGUUAAUCGGAAUUACUGGGCGUAAAGCGUGCGCAGGCGGUUAUAUAAGACGGAUGUGAAAUCCCCGGGCUCA